CCUACGGGAGGCAGCAGUGAGGAAUAUUGGUCAAUGGGCGCGAGCCUGAACCAGCCAAGUAGCGUGAAGGAUGACUGCCCUACGGGUUGUAAACUUCUUUUAUAAAGGAAUAAAGUGAGGCACUUGUGCCUUUUUGUAUGUACUUUAUGAAUAAGGAUCGGCUACCUCCGUGCCAGCAGCCGCGGUAAUACGGAGGAUCCGCGCGUUCUCCGGUUUGUUUGGGGUUAAAGGGUGCGUAGAUGGGUUGUUAAGUCAGUUUUGAAAGUUUGCGGCUCAACCGUAAAAUUGCAAUUGAUACUGGCAGUCUUGAGUACAGUUGAGGUAGGCGGAAUUCGUGGUGUAGCGGUGAAAUGCUUAGAUAGCACGAAGAACGCCGAUUGCGAAGGCAGCUUACUAAACUGCCACUGACAUUGAGGCACGAAAGUGUGGGUAUCAAACAGGAUUAGAUACCCCUGUAGUC
rnacentral:rRNA from 1 species